rnacentral:rRNA from 1 species
AGCUUCAGUAGCGUAUAUUAAAGUUGUUGCAGUUAAAAAGCUCGUAGUCGCAUUUCUGGCGAGAGGAUCCGGUCCGACCUUUUGGUGGGUUCUUGGGUCUCUUUCGCCAUCCUUGAGUGGUCCGUUCUGGCAUUAGGUUGUCGGAGCGUCAGCCGCUCAUCGUUUACUGUGAGAAAAUUAGAGUGUUCAAAGCAGGCUUAUGCCGUUGAAUAUAUUAGCAUGGAAUAAUAAGAUAGGACCUCGGUACUAUUUUGUUGGUUUGCGCACCAAGGUAAUGAUGAACAGGGACAGUUGGGAGUAUUUGUAUUUCGUUGUCAGAGGUGAAAUGCUUAGAUUUACGAAAGACAAACUACUGCGAAAGCAUUUACCAAGGAUGUUUUCA